rfam:Echinococcus multilocularis genomic scaffold, pathogen_EmW_scaffold_11
GAAGUGAAUGAGCGUGUCGCGAUGGACUUGAAAUCCAUUGGGAACGUCCCGCGCAGGUUCGAAUCCUGCUCGCGACG